ACAUUUGUGGGUGUGAGGGUUCUAUUGAUCGCCAGGGUUGAUUCGGCUGAUCUGGCUGGCUAGGCGGUGUCUCCUUCCUCCCUCAAUGCUCCAUGUGUGUCCCUCCAGAAGCUGCACUCUCUAGGUUGAAGAGGACGGCCUUCCCAGAAUAGAGAUGGACCACUUCCCUGCCAGAACCUCCAAAUGAGCUCUCAAGAAUUAUAUUUGAAUGCAUAUUUUUGGAUAGUUAUGUUGGAAAUCAACAGAAAAUAUUUCUGACUUAUUUCACUUAACAUGAAUUUUUCAAGGUACAUCCAAGAUUGGCUGAAAACAGUGAAGUCACCAUUUUUU
rnacentral:snRNA from 1 species